ACCUUGGUAAGGGCUUUCCAAAAAAAUCUGAUUUCAUAAGCCAGAUUUCCACUCUCUCUCUCAAACCCUUUUCUCAAAAUAUUGUUCUGUCUUCUCUCUAAAUUUUUCAUUCACUGAACCGAUCAAAUUUUAAUUUGAAAGUGUUUCCUUGCUCACUGCACCGAGGGCUUCAAUUUGAACCCGGCGUUCUUCCAUUCCGACCGGUACUGUUGUUUUUCUGUCCGGGUGAGAAUUUCUAUUAGAACGUCUUCAAAUUAGCUUACCAAGAAAACCCAAGAGGAGAAUGAGGUCUCUGUGGAGAACGUCUUGGAGGGCAAUGAAGAUGUUGAGGCUUAGAUCCUUUAGGAUUUCUUUUCCUAUAUGUACUUUUGAAACACUGUUACCUUAUGCUGUUUUAUGAUACUUUAGCACUUUAAGUUUUAAAUUUUUAGCCACUUUCUGGAUAACUGUAAUCUUUGUUU